rnacentral:misc_RNA from 1 species
GGAAUGUUUCGCCUCAUAUUGGUUUGUACCUGACCAAUUUUUUGUGUUUCAAUACUGUGAUAUGCUUGGGUUAAGUACUCUUACUGCUUAUGCUCUGUGGCAAAGCCACAUUAUCAAGGGGGCCAACUGCAACUUUUAUUUUUAUAUUCAAAUUAUAUUGUGUUUAGGGGUUGAUAAAAUAAAUCCAAACACAUAAUAUAUUUCUCAAAUUGUUGUGCAGAUUAGGUCAGUGAAUUCAUUGAUUAAUCUUCUCUUUUGUGCUAUGUUUCUCUUGAACAUUUUUGUCUCAUUAAGAUUAUUAUGCUCCACUAUUUUGUUUUGAUUUUUUUUUAAUUAUUUCUUUUUAUUGAAUAUCAAAUGACACUUUUUCUUUUAUUUCAUUAGUGUGUUAGUAUAGUU